GGCUGGUUAGCUCAGUGGGUUGAGCACGUUGCUGACAACAAUGACAACACUGAGGCCACAGGUUCGAUUCCUGCUCGGUCC
rnacentral:tRNA from 1 species